GUAUUGAUUGCGUGUGACCGCAAAAUAAAUAAAUAAAAAGAACAUUCUACACUGUAUCAAGUUUUAUGUGAAAACGCAAGCCCCCCUCGAGACAGGCCAGAAGGGGACCCACGCGGUGGUGCACAGGGUGAGAUGGAUUGUUUGAGAGCGCUCGGGCGUGCACGACAAAAAAGUCAGCGACAGCCCUUGCACCUCAGUUUUACGAUAAUGAUCCUUCCGCAGGUUCACCUACGGAAA
rnacentral:misc_RNA from 1 species